rnacentral:rRNA from 1 species
UACAGAGGGGGCAAGCGUUAUUCGGAAUUACUGGGCGUAAAGCGUGCGUAGCCGGUUGCAUAAGUCAGAUGUGAAAGCCCCGGGCUCAACCUGGGAAUUGCAUUUGAGACUGUGUAGCUAGGGUGCGGAAGAGGGAAGCGGAAUUUCCGGUGUAGCGGUGAAAUGCGUAGAUAUCGGAAGGAACACCAGUGGCGAAAGCGGCUUCCUGGUCCAGCACCGACGUUCAGGCACGAAAGCGUGGGGAGCAAACAGG